rnacentral:rRNA from 1 species
UACGUAGGGUGCGAGCGUUAAUCGGAAUUACUGGGCGUAAAGCGUGCGUAGGCGGUUCGCUGUGUCCGAUGUGAAAGCCCCGGGCUUAACCUGGGAAUGGCAUUGGAAACUGGCGGGCUUGAGUGCGGCAGAGGGGGGUGGAAUUCCGCGUGUAGCAGUGAAAUGCGUAGAGAUGCGGAGGAACACCGAUGGCGAAGGCAGCCCCCUGGGUCGACACUGACGCUCAGGCACGAAAGCGUGGGUAGCAAACAGG